CCAGAGAACUUUCCAGAGAUGGGAUUGGUGCCUUCGGGAACUCUGAGACAGGUGCUGCAUGGCUGUCGUCAGCUCGUGUUGUGAAAUGUUGGGUUAAGUCCCGCAACGAGCGCAACCCUUAUCCUUUGUUGCCAGCGGUUAGGCCGGGAACUCAAAGGAGACUGCCAGUGAUAAACUGGAGGAAGGUGGGGAUGACGUCAAGUCAUCAUGGCCCUUACGAGUAGGGCUACACACGUGCUACAAUGGCGCAUACAAAGAGAAGCGACCUCGCGAGAGCAAGCGGACCUCAUAAAGUGCGUCGUAGUCCGGAUUGGAGUCUGCAACUCGACUCCAUGAAGUCGGAAUCGCUAGUAAUCGUGGAUCAGAAUGCCACGGUGAAUACGUUCCCGGGCCUUGUACACACCGCCCGUCACACCAUGGGAGUGGGUUGCAAAAGAAGUAGGUAGCUUAACCUUCGGGAGGGCGCUUACCACUUUGUGAUUCAUGACUGGGGUGAAGUCGUAACAAGGUAAGCGUAGUGCU
rnacentral:rRNA from 1 species